rnacentral:lncRNA from 1 species
GAUUUGUUGCAGUGUAUGUUGUUUAAACAAAUUUGCCAUCUACAGCCAGGGACGCCGGAACUGGGGGGGCAGGGGGGGUGGCUGCCCCCCUUGCUUUUUGCUAGGGGGGGGGCAGAAGUGCCCUUUUAGUUGUAAAAUAAUACGUGAUAAAUCACAUUUGCAACGAUGCUUUUUGUAGAAAAAUCACGAGAUUCAGGUAAUUUAUAGUUUAUAUUUAUAAAAAUUUUGGGAAAUUUUUGGAAUUUAGAAAAAUAUUUUGAAGAAAUG